UUGUAAAAAAAACGGGAGACUUUUCUUAUUAUGUUAUUUGUAUAUAUAUAUAAAUCACAUUACAAAUAACAUAAUACAAAAAAUAAGUAUGAACUUCUGCAACAUAGAUAUUACAUUAAGAGCAAAUUAACAUAAAAAAAUUUACAUUCAGAAGAAAGUAUCAACUUCAAUGUGCAAUCAAAUUGAAAAUAAAUAGCGUAACUGUAGUGCAAAACAAAAGGUCAAGAAACUAAAAUAAAUACAUAUAAAUAAAACAAAGACACAUUCAUACGCUCACUGUUGUGGGUGCAGAACAAAUUAAAUCCAAACAGGAUCAUCAUGAUAAAGGUGGCCUUAUGCCCUUUACUUCAGAAACUUUGUCUAUUGGUUAUGAAUAUGCUUGUUAUACAACUAUUAUUACUAAUAGUAAUAAUAUUAUAAAAAAAUAACCACGAUAACAAUAUACGUUAUUAUUACUAUUACCAGGCCUCAACCUUGUUUUUCUUUCUCGAGAGCGCCAGCCCUGAUAACAGUUCAGUGAGUGACCGAAUCACUGAGUGAACGAGAGCACCAGCCCUGAUAACAGUUCAGGUGGUGAGCUUCCUGAGGGCUUUGAGGAUAGUUAUCCUGGUGCGUGUCUUUCGUCUGGCCUCUCAGAAGAAAGAUCUGGAGAAGGUCACUAGAAGAAAGGUAUCUGAGAACAAAAGGCGGUAACAAAAAGGAUGGAUUUGAUUUGGAUCUCACCUAUGUCACAGGCACUCUACAGAAAUCCCAUAAAAGAAGCUGCCAUAUUUCUGGACACAAAGCAUCCCGAUCAUUACAGAGUUUACAAUCUCUGCAGUCAAAAAGGCUACGAUCCACUGUUCUUCCAUUACAGAGUGCAACGAGUGAUGAUUGACGACCAUAACGUACCGUCAUUAGACCAACCCACUCGUUAGGACUCCCCCUAUCACUAGUAAUGCCCCAACACACCAGGAGGAUGAAGACUAGCACACUCUUUCUCCGAUACAUGUGACGUCAGCCACCGCUUCUUUUCGAGCUGCUGCUGAUGCAGCAUUGCCAAGCAGCCAGCACAUUUGGAGGAAAGCGCAGCGGCAGGUGAACCCGAGGAACCUGAGGAAAGUGGUGGGAAAUCUCGAGCCAGGUCAGACCUUGGGUUGGGUUUGGGCAGAGAACCUAAGCUCUUAUUCACAUAUUGAACUUUGUGUUAUUGUGUUCUCAGUGACAUGUUGAACUACACUGCCAGUUUGAGGGAAUGUCAUUGCCAUCCACUGCAAAGGAGGCAAAGGUGUGGGAAAGGGCAAUGGCAGUGAUCUGAAGGUGCGGAUCAUAGUGAAAAGAGAGCAGGUGUUCCAGUGUGUCUGUGCCACGCAGACGAACUGUAGGCUGUUCCCAGAUACUGAAAACAAUGCCGGGGUGAUCAGCUUUCAGGAAGGGCCAGUGGUUUGUGGUGAUGUUAAGGUCAUGUUUGAAUCCAGGGCUGGUCUUCCAAAGGGGUAUGAGGACUAUCCUUUCUAUUUCUGGUUCAACACUUCAUUUGUAGAGAACAACAGGCUCUAUCUGUCAAGGGAGGAACUGGACAACCCUCGUAAGUCCAAAACCUGGGACAUCUACAAGGAGGACUUUGGUGUGACCGUGUCUUUCAGUGACCCUGCACUUAUGUAGCAGACGACACUUGCUUGUGUAUCUCAACUAAAACCCUUAAGCCCUGCACAAGGUCUAAAUCUUUGCUCUAAUGUAGGUUUUCACACACUUAUAAAAGGUGAGUGAUGUUUAGGGAUUGGAUUCGGGCAUAUUGUGCCCCUAAAGCUAUAGCUAUAGCUAUAUAACCUCAACUUUAUGUCCAUCCCCCAUCUUCACUGUAAGAGCUUUUUACUGAGCCGUGCAUACAUCACAAUAUUAUGCAUUUGUUUGUCAAAUGUUUUUUGUCUUUAAAUGAAGACAAAUGUUUGUGUCAGUUUAGCAUAUUAUGCUUCCAAAAUGUAAAUCUUACUCUUUAAGCUUGUGUACAUCAAAUAAAGCAAUCGAGGCUGCCACUGUGAAAUGGUCAAUGGUUAUGUGUGCAGAAACAUUUUUUUGUAGUACACAUGUAUUGAAAUAAAUACUAAUGUCUCUGUAA